UGUCGUGAGAUGUUGGGUUAAGUCCCGUAACGAGCGCAACCCUUGUCCUUAGUUACCAGCACGUUAAGGUGGGCACUCUAAGGAGACUGCCGGUGACAGACCGGAGGAAGGUGGGGAUGACGUCAAGUCAUCAUGGCCCUUACUGCCUGGGCUACACACGUGCUACAAUGGUCGGUACAAAGGGUUGCCAAGCCGCGAGGUGGAGCUAAUCCCAUAAACCCUGCCUCAGUUCAGAUUGCAGGCUGCAACUCGCCUGCAUGAAGGCGGAAUCGCUAGUAAUCGCAGGUCAGCAUACUGCGGUGAAUCCGUUCCCGGGCCUUGUACACACCGCCGUCGACGCGGCCG
rnacentral:rRNA from 1 species